rnacentral:snoRNA from 1 species
UCUGGAUUGAUGAUGCAAUUAUUAUCUGCGUUAUCUUUUCUGCAACCUUUAAGGUGCUGAAGAACAUUACCUGCAGAGAUCCAUG